GCGAGAGUAUCCAAGCGGCCAAAGGAGUUGGACUUAAGAUCCAAUUGCGCAGGCAUUCGUGGGUUCAAAUCCCAUCUCUCGCACCU
rnacentral:tRNA from 1 species